UUGUGUCAUCGUAAAUCCUUGUCAAUAAAGUAACGCGUUUUUGGUUGGAAUCUGACCAUCAGGGCAAUAACAUACAGGACGGUAAAAUCUCGAACAGUCUUGGAGGCCACCACCAAUCGACUAAGCUUCAGUUAACCCACCGAAAUAUGUAUACCGCAUCCACUGAAUGGCGAGUCCUUAGACGCUAUAGACUUGAUGGGACACUGAUUUUGAUUUCCAACCACUCGUAAAACUUCUCACGUUUGUGCGACUAACCCCUAUGGAAUGCCGAUGAAAAUGCAUAUCAAAACAAAAAGUAAAAAAAUGGAAAUAAAAAUAGAGGUAGUUGGAUUGUAAACAAACAAACCCCUCGUCCUGUGUAAGCAUGUGUUCCGAGCACCAGUGGAAUGUACAGAGGCCAAACAACCGCGAUUUUUUGUUCACAUGCGCAUUACAACAAUAGUGGGAAAAUUUAACCCUAUGAAGGCUAACUCGAACCAUAUAAUCGAAGAUCUAUCUCUAAGAGAAGGUGCCGAAAAUUGUGUUCCUUUGAUGAUAUGCCAACUUCUGAAAACUUUGAUUGAACCCAAAAACUUCGUUUUACAAAGACAGCAAUACAACAAAAGG